GGCUCAGAUUGAACGCUGGCGGCAUGCUUUACACAUGCAAGUCGAACGGCAGCACGAAAGAGCUUGCUCUUUUGGUGGCGAGUGGCGAACGGGUGAGUAAUACAUUGGAACGUACCGAGUAAUGGGGGAUAACUGUCCGAAAGGAUGGCUAAUACCGCAUACGCUCUGAGGAGGAAAGCGGGGGACCUUCGGGCCUCGCGUUAUUCGAGCGGCCAAUGUCUGAUUAGCUAGUUGGUGGGGUAAAGGCCUACCAAGGCGACGAUCAGUAGUGGGUCUGAGAGGAUGAUCCGCCACACUGGGACUGAGACACGGCCCAGACUCCUACGGGAGGCAGCAGUGGGGAAUUUUGGACAAUGGGCGAAAGCCUGAUCCAGCCAUGCCGCGUGUCUGAAGAAGGCCUUCGGGUUGUAAAGGACUUUUGUCAGGGAAGAAAGGGUUUGGGUUAAUACCCUAAGCUUA
rnacentral:rRNA from 1 species